AAUGAACGUUGGCGGCGUGGAUUAGGCAUGCAAGUCGAACGGGCCCGGCCGCAAGGCCGGGUCAGUGGCGCAAGGGUGAGUAAGGCGACGGUAACCAACCCCAUGGUCGGGCAUAGCCGCGGGAAACUGCGGGUAAUUCCCAGCGAAGUGGCGUGCGGGCAUCCGCGGGCCACCAAAGUUCCGGCGCCGUGGGACGGGCCGUCGUGGUAUUAGGUCGUUGGCGGGGUAAUGGCCCACCAAGCCUGUGAUGCCUACCGGGCGUGCGAGCGUGGCCCGGCACACUGGGACUGAGACACUGCCCAGACCCCUACGGGAGGCUGCAGUCGAGAAUCUUCGGCAAUGGGCGCAAGCCUGACCGAGCGACGCCGCGUGGAGGAUGAAGGCCUUCGGGUUGUAAACUCCUGUCGAGGGGGAGGAAGGGGCCGCAAGGCCCUUGACUGAUCCCUGGAGGAAGCACGGGCUAAGUUCGUGCCAGCAGCCGCGGUAAGACGAACCGUGCGAACGUUAUUCGGAAUCACUGGGCUUAAAGCGCGUGUAGGCGGGACGGCACGUCGGUCGCUGAAAGCCCCCGGCUCANCCGGGGAACGGGCGCCGAUACGACCGUCCUGGAGGGACGUNGGGGGACCUGGAACUUCCGGUGGAGCGGUGAAAUGCGUUGAGAUCGGAAGGAACGCCCGUGGCGAAAGCGAGGUCCUGGACGUUUUCUGACGCUGAGACGCGAAAGCCAGGGGAGCGAACGGGAUUAGAUACCCCGGUAGUCCUGGCCGUAACGAUGGGCACUGGGUAGGGGCUCGCCGAUGGGCUCCCUGCCGAAGGAAACCGUGAGUGCCCGCCUGGGAGUAUGGUCGCAAGGCUGAA
rnacentral:rRNA from 1 species